GGAGGGGUGUCCGAGCGGUUUAAGGAGCUGGUCUUGAAAACCAGUGACUCGCGAGAGCCGUGGGUUCGAAUCCCACCCCCUCCGCCA
rnacentral:tRNA from 2 species